CCCUUAGAUGUUCUGGGCCGCACGCGCGCUACACUGAUGCAUUCAACGAGCCUAUCCUUGACCGACAGGUCCGGGUAAUCUUUGAAUCUGCAUCGUGACGGGGAUAGAUUAUUGCAAUUAUUAAUCUUCAACGAGGAAUGCCUAGUAGGCGCAAGUCAUCAGCUUGCGUCGAUUACGUCCCUGCCCUUUGUACACACCGCCCGUCGCUCCUACCGAUUGGGUGUGCUGGUGAAAUGUUCGGAUCGGCCGUUUGUCGCGGUUUCCGCGUCAUGUGGCUGAGAAGUUCAUUAGACCCUCCCACCUAGAGGAAGGAGAAGUCGUAACA
rnacentral:rRNA from 1 species